GAGGUGAGACCGUUAAUCUCGUCAGAAACUUCUAACACCACCACCUACUUAAUCUCCUCCGUCGCUCGACGUUUCCAUCACGAAGCUAAUUUAGGGUUUCUUCUGAUCCUCUUCUCUUCUCGAUCGGCCCGAUUUUACCCUUCCGAUCCUUCCACGAAUUCAGAGAUGGUUCUCUCGCAGAAGCUCCACGAGGCCUUCAAAGGCACGGUGGAGAGAAUCACCAGCCACCGCACCGUCUCCGCUUUCAAGGAGAAAGGCGUCCUCAGCGUCACCGAGUUCAUCAUCGCCGGCGACAAUCUCGUUUCCAAGUGCCCCACUUGGUCCUGGGAAUCAGGUGAGCCAAGCAAGAGGAAGCCAUAUCUGCCGGCAGAAAAGCAGUUCCUAAUAACUAGAAAUGUCCCUUGUUUGCGGCGAGCUGCUUCUGUGGAAGAAGAGUAUGAGGCUGCAGGAGGGGAAGUUUUGCUUGAUAACGAAGAUAAUGACGGCUGGCUUGCCACUCAUGGAAAGCCGAGAGAAACUAAGGAAGAUGAAGAGGAUAAUUUGCCUUCUAUGGACAGCUUAGAGAUUGGCAAGAAAAAUUCUAUUCAGUCCAUUCCUUCAUAUUUUGGGGGAGAGGAGGAUGAAGACAUUCCAGACAUGGCAGAGUACGAGGAACCCGACAACCUCAUCGAGACGGAUCCUGCAACACUUCAGUCUACUUAUCUGGUGGCUCAUGAACCUGACGACGACAACAUACUGCGAACCCGAACUUAUGAUGUCAGCAUAACGUAUGAUAAGUACUAUCAAACUCCUCGUGUUUGGCUUACUGGAUAUGAUGAGUCAAGGAUGCUUUUGCGACCAGAGCUUGUACUUGAAGAUGUUAGUCAAGACCAUGCACGAAAAACGGUAACAAUUGAAGACCAUCCUCAUUUGCCUGGAAAACAUGCUUCAGUACAUCCGUGUAGACAUGGCGCAGUAAUGAAGAAGAUCAUUGACGUAUUAAUGUCACGUGGUGUUGAACCAGAAGUUGACAAGUACCUUUUCUUGUUCCUCAAAUUUGUUGCCUCUGUUAUUCCAACUAUUGAAUAUGAUUACACAAUGGACUUCGACCUUGGCAGUUCCAGCCGCUGAUCCAAGGUAGAUCGCAUGGUUAAUAUUGCAAUCAUGGGCUAUGCCUAGAUAUGGUUAGGUGUCCUUUUGGCUUGUAUCCUCAGAUAGUUUUUGAGGAUCCAGUCUGCAAAAUCCACACGAAGAGGAGGAAUUUCUCCGCAGACUGCAUGUUGGGUCACAUUAUAUUUCCUGUUCAUAGUAAUUCUCCCCCCCAACACCCCCUCUCUCCUCCUCUUCUGAAUUUGUGAAUUUUCCGUGGGAUUAGAGAAAGAAAAAAACAAACUGUACAUGUAAAUAGGGGUCUGUGUUGAUCGGUCUGGUCUGAUUUAUCUGGACAGCUAAGCAUUAAUUUAUAGUCAUGAACGCGUUUAUUAGCAAAUGCUAAUAUGUGGAUAUGUAAUUUUACUUAAUGAAAAUACUUAAAUGUUACUUUGCGCAA